UGGCCCUUAGUAAAUUUUACAUAAUAAAAUUGUGCAUGUUUUUCUCAAUUUAAUUUUUUUUUUGCUUCGACUAAAUAAUAAUAAGCAAUGUUGAAAACCAGUAAACUAAACAUAUGAAACACGCUUAAAGUGAAUUAGAAAUAAUUAUGUCGUGUCAAGGGGUAGAAACUGCGCGUGCACAAUUUUUCCCCGAGCUGACGGCAGCCAUUUUCUACACCUCGUCUCUGGGAAGAUUUGGCUUACCUGAGGAAAUUCUGUCAUCUUACAUUUACAAAGUAGGAUAUUGUAUAUUCUCUAUUGUUUGUCAUUAUAACAUGUUCAUGACAUUUACGCAGAAACGUAAGCUUAAGGGAGGACUUAGCAUGGCUUAAAAUUCGCUAGCUUAGCUAACUUAGCUAGCUAGCCAGGUUAGUUUAAACCGACGCAUAUUCAAAGUACACAUAACGUUACUCAGUCAAAGAAUCUCUAAACUUACUAAAGCUGAUUGCAGUGUUUUAAUUGUAAAGGUCAGUGUUUUAAUAUAAUGUGUCCUUCAUAAGUAUCUGUCUAUGUUGAGGUCACUUGAGGUCCUCACUAAGUUUGCUCACAAACACAACCGUUAGCUAACGUUACUGUUGACCUAGCCUAGCUAGCUAAGUAACGGCGCCAUUUUCUGAAGUUCACUGCAGACGAGUGCGUUUAGCUGCUGUGUCAUCAUACAAGUACACGGUAAAAUAUUGUUUUGAUGGUUGUAGACGCACACAACGCAGCGUUGGAUAUAUCUUUGAUGAAACGUACAGUUAAGGGAUGACUAGCAUAGCAUAAGUUUGUGAGGGGCACAGUUCAACACAUAUUCUAAGUAAACAGACCUAGCUAGUGUUAGCUAGUUGUGUGUCCUUGACAUGGCCUGUAAUAAUUUUUUCCCACGGAGGAGGCUGUGCUCGCUUCGCCUGUGAUUUUGGAUGUGAUAUUUGGGUACUAGGUGUCCACAAACCUGUGUAAUUUCAACCUUAGUUAGCUAGCUAGUUAGCUCCACUAAGCCUGGGGUUUAGAUAUGGAGCCUGCAAACUCUAUUGUAGCUAGCGUUAACUUAGCAAACAUAUCGUUGGCAGCUAGUAGGUUACAGACAUCAGUUAACUGGUUUAAUUUCAACGUUUGUCCAUUUAACACUUAAUGCUCUGUUCGAUGAACCUUUUGCAAUGUGGUGUUCCAACAUGGACUCUGAUACCGUUAGCGCAGCUAGCUAGCGUUAGUUAGCUAAGCAAACGUUAGUGUUAGCAGCUAGCUGGCUAACUUAGCUAGUAGGCGACAAGCACCACGAAGCAAGUUUUAAGUUUCAUUUCAGCUUUCUGUUCCUUCAACACCAAUCGCUCGACUUUGCUGUAUCAGAAUUGUCAGUGGAGAUUUAGUUCGACAUAAUAGAAUCUGUUAUCUUGUUAAUUAGUAAGCUAAUGCUAACUGUUCACCUCAGUAGUGGAAAAGAGGUUUAUGUUUGCCCAUAUAACAGCAGAGUGUCAUUGCUCAUUAUUAUAAUCAGAACAUUAUUUUGUAUAUAAGAUGGUGCACACACACUCACAAAUGAGUGCCAAGUACCAAGUGGUAGAAGUAAUUAUUAUACAUUGAUUUUGAUGCUCAAUAAUGCACAGACCCUAGACAGGGAAUUCUGAUAGCCAUAUUGAUUAAAAGAACCUUGAUGUGACUUAAAUAUCAUAGUUGGUUUCAAACUAAAAUAAUGUUCACAGGAUUAAAACAAAUAGCUAAAUAUGAGUAAAAUAAUAUAUAUUAUUGUAAGACUAUUAAAUUUCAGCCAAAAUAAUGCACUGUUAUGUCCUUCCACAUGGUGAGAUAAAACAUUAAGGUAAAGCGAUAAAACAUUAAAGUAAAGCUUAUGUUUAAGAUAACAUGGUCUUUCAUUUAAUUUUAUUUAAAUGUCCUCUUUGUUUAUAGGUUAACGCUUAACAAGGUUGUUGAGUGCCAUGUUUUAAAGGAUUCUCUGGCAUGUUCUAAGUCUCUGGCGAAGAAUGUCCACCUUAAAAGAGAAGCCAUCAUAAAAGCUCUUUGUCCGCACCUGAAUAAUGAUGAUGGAUUUCUUAUCAAGGAGUACAGGGACAUUCAUGGUGAAGACAUAUUGAGAGACCAGCACAGCACUGAAAUGGGCAUUUAUGUCAUCAGAAGAGGGUGGAACUCUUGGAGAAUAUGAAGACGUUGACGCUGAUGGAAAUGUUAUUGUAGGAAACAUCAAAUCAGUUGCACCAGACUGCAGUAAUGCUUGGAGUAAUCUAUGCACUGAAUAUGGCUCACCACAAUGGGCAGAAAUACUGCUUUAAAUUUGUACAUUCCUCAUGCCAAAGGAUGGUGCAAAGCUCUCCCCUAAUAUUCUUGGUUAAAAUCUUGGGAUAGUCAAAAUAGGCUGUCCAUUCUGGAAAUAUAUAGAACUUUUCACACUAGCUUCUGCUUUGAUUGAAAAGCAAUGGGCUUUUGAACAACGCUUAAGUCACAUGAAACAAGUAUGGCUGUAUUUGUCAACAUCUCUUUUAAAAUUCAAUGACAUUUCAAUGAUUUUCUAUACAACAUGUCAAGAUCCUGCUCAUGUUUAAGAACAAUUUGUCUUAAAACAGCAUGCAGUUAAAUUUUAGAGUCUUUUUUUGCUAAAGCUGUACGAAGUAGUCUUUUGAACAGUUUGAGCUCUAUAAAUUUUCACCCUAAAUUUGCAAAGUCUAACGACCAAAAUAAGGUUGUGCUAACUAGAGGCAGUGCUUUGACAAGAAGGCCGUACUCUGUAGGCACCAUUUCUGGGGCAUUAUUUUGAUCAUUAUACAAUAUCCAAUUGUCAUCAAAGUCAUAUAACAUUUAAAACUGUGUUAUUGUGCUGUUCUAUUUUAAAUAUCUGCUGUUGUAAAGUUGCACUUAAGGUUGGUGUUAUCAUUAUGUAAUUACUGAAUGUUACUUCAUUGUUUCACAAAUUCUGGGCCAUUACUUAAGACUUAAUUAAUUGUGAUUAAUUUAGGUGAAUGUGUUUGUAAUUGCAGUAUUCUAUUUGAAGCUUAUUGUUCUAUGUAAAGUUGCAUUUUAGCUUGUGUUGCCUGCAAGACAAGCAAUAAUGUAUUGACAAUUAAGUAAAUUCAGAGAGUCAUUUUUUGAGUGUAGUGCCACAAUCUACAA